GUCUUUGGGAUUCAGUUGAGAGAGAAACUGUCUCUCUGGAGCUGAAGAGGAAAGGAGAGAGAAGUGUGGCUGAAUCUAAGAUCAGUUCCCAAGGCAAUAGCCUGUGAAGAUCCUUUGGCUGUGGUGAGGAUUUAUUUUUCAAUCAUCUGCUGGUCAGGGAUUGAGGAGCUGUCUUCAACUUGGAGGAGUUAUCAUCUGUGGACAUUUCACCUUGGAUUCCUGUUUUGGCUCCCAGAGACUCUAUUUUUGACACCACUGGUAAAGAGUUCAGUCUAAUAAGGGGAAUGGCAUGGCAGUGCAGUGAGCAGUGGAAAUGAAGUGGCUCAUCCUCCUACCCUCCUUUGGGAAUGGAAGAGAAGAAAGCCAUCCCUUAUGAAAAAGAAUUUUUAAAAAGAAAUAAAAGGAAACAUAUGAGGAAAGAAAAGCCAUCAAAGAUGAUCAAAGCAUCAAAAAAGAAUCUGAUGCAAUGCUCCAUUCUUGUUUUCCAACUUCUGCAAAGGAGAAGUGAAAGCAGAUGCUUUUCCUGGCAAGUACUACAGUGUGGGAAGUAUGAUGCCACCUGAGAAGCAACACAAACCUAGAUACAAAUCAUUCUACUCAAGUCUUGGAGCUGUCCUCAAAGAAAAACAAACUUGGCACUAGACAUAAACUAAAUGAGUGCCAAGAGCUGCCAGCACAUUAAGACCAAAGCCCAACAGAAACAGAGCCCCUCGGCAACUUCUAGAGGGAAUAUCAGCUAAGGAGGAAAGAGAAUUGGAGUUGUGUUCCUUACAGAAACACCAUUAUGCUCAGUCAUAGGGGUUUUACAUCUAGAACAGACUUAAUUCACUCCCAUGAAAAUAAUCUUGAAGGUGUACAAAUAAGGCCAAUUAUGAUUUACUCAGAUUCCCUAUGUUUCCCACAUGGAAAGGAAGGCUUAAGUUUCCAUUCAGAAAGAGGCAAAAGGAAGAAUUUAACCCAUGUUACAUUGCAUUUGCAUGAAGCAUACCUAUUGACUGAAAGUGAAUCCAGUGGUCUGUGGGCAAUUGAGCUAAUCCAGCUUGGGAGCUGUGUUUUCAAAAUCAAUACCACAUUUUCCUUCUAUAUACUCAUGAAUAUGGCACUUUAUAAUUCAAACCAAGGUUGGUCCACUACACUUCUACCUCCUAUUUGGGUAGAGAACAUUGGCAGGUCCCAUGAUCAGAGGAAGCAAAACAAUGAACAAGAUACCAGUUUCCCAAUAUAGUCAACCUUACAAAUGGGAAAUGAUGAUUUCCCUUCACUCAUAUUACACAAAAAAAAUGGCAAAAUGCAUUCCCCCUAAGCAUCAAAAUAAAGGAUAUUAAAGAAGCAAUUGUAUAGUUUUAUCAAAUUAUAGACUUAGAGCUAGAAGGUACCAAAAAAGUAGAAUGCAGCCCUUAAACUUUAUAGAUGAAAAAAAUCAAGCUCUGGAUGGGUUAAGUAGUAAGCCUUCUGUUACAAAAGUAGUAAGUAAUGGGGUCAGGACUCAGGUCCUUUGACUCCUAAUCCAGAAUGUACCAUUCAGCUUCUUAAGAAAUUCUAGAUCUGGAAACAACCUCCUGAGUAACCAAGUCCAAUGUAAUCAAGAAUCUCCUUUAAAUAGCAGAAUCAGCUUAGCAUUCUCAUUAGCAUUCUCAUUAAUGCAAAGGUGCUUAGCCUUUUCUGUCAUGGAUACCUUUGGCAGUCUGAUCCCCAAUCAGAAUCAUGUUUUUAAUUUCAUAAAAUAAAAUAUGUAGAACUAUAAAAGAAACCAAUUUUAUUUAGUCAUCAAAGUAUUAAUAAGUUGAUGGAUCUCAAUUAAGAAUUAAGGUUAAGAAUUCUUCUGUAAUGCCUCUAGUCAGCACAAGUAAUUAAUGUCUGAAGGCAGUCCAGUCUUCUCUUAAAACUGUGAAUUUUAGAUUUACUCCACCCUAAUUAGUCUUUAGAAUUUUAGCAAUCAAGGAAUGUAUACACCCCCACUUAAGUAUUAACUGUGGGGGAAUAUGGCCUAAUGCAGGCAUGUGCUAGCAAGUGACAAAUCAGAAACAAUUGACUGACCCCCUGGGCUUUCCUAAGCCAAGCUUAAGCCACCAUUGGUACAUGUGAGACACAGGAAGUGAUGCAAAGAACUGCCUUUAUAUUUCACUUCACUUCCUGUGAUCAUGGGCUUGGUGGCAUCGGGAGCUUUGGUGGACUUGGCCCUGGAACUCGAACCUGGAGGAGCUCCUCAGACUGCUUCCUUUUAGAUGGUCAUGUGGUGAGUGAUAAGAUUGACUCUCCUUUCCCUUGGCUUUCUGGAGAGGCCCCUUGGCUGAAGCCUCUGAACUCCUGCCUGGCUCAGCCCAGACUGGAGCAGUUUUAAUUCCCUUUCCCUCUCUCUCUCUUUCUUAAUUUCUUCCUUCUGUUGUAAUUAAACCACCAUAACAUCCCAAACUGAGUUGAGUAUUUCAUUGGGAUUGAAUUUAAAUCCCUGGCAACCACUAAUAUAAUAUAUUCAGUCAACAAUCCUAAAAUUUACCCAUAACAGAACCUCUGUUAGGAAAUGCUUCAACACCCCAAAUUUCUGUCUUCCUGGAUAUUGGCAACUCUGGGGGUAUAAUUUCAUACAACCAAAUUUUGCCUUUUUCUUUUGAAUCUGUGUGCUUGUGUGAAGAUCAACUGGAAAUGGUGAAAAUAAUAUUGCUGAAAUCCAAAGUGGUCCUUCAGGAACUUGUCUUGAUCUGUUUAGUAAAGUGAACUGAGCUAUCAUGCCUCCUUAGAUGUAGGAAAGUAAGAGGUGUCAGGCUUAUGAAAGAUGAAGGGUCUGAAGCUAUCCUAGGUAUUUCUGUUAAUGGGUUUUCUUACCUGUGCCGUUUAUAUUGGACCCUUUAGAAGUAACAUCAGUCAGUGCCACUCCCACUCACCCUCCCUCCCUGAAAUGCAAUAAAGAUUUCAUAAAUUUCAGGGAAGAGUGGAAAAUUUAUAUAAGCAAGUGUUUAUAGGAAUGUCAAAAAGGAAUUUCUAAAGCAGAGGUUCUUUAACAUUUUUGUGUCAUAGGCCCUUUUGGCAGUAUGGUAAAACCUAUGAACUCACUCAGAAUAAUGUUUUAAAAUCCAUAGUACAAAACACAUAGGAUUAUGAAGGAAACCCUUUCUAUUAAAAUAUUGUUAUCUCUAUUUGUACAACCCAGUAGAAUUGCUUGUCGGCUCUGGGA